CAGCAACUGUGACAAGUCAGGUACCAGAGAGAACCACAACUUCAGCUGAAGAGCAAACCUCUAUAGCUAUCACAGUUCUAACAUCAGAUGCACAUUUCACAGCAGAUGUAACAGAGACAGCGACUGUGACAACGGUUCAGGUACCAGAGAUAACGAUGACAUCAGCUGAAGAACAAACCUCUAUAGCUACCGCAGUUCUAAC